CAUCAAGCAGGACGGUGGCGGCAUGGCUCCGGGAGGCGGGGAAUGGCGUGGAAACAAUGGACGACGAGGCGAGGCGGAUCAGAUCAGGAUCGAGCGCAGUGGUGCGUAGUGGAGGCCGCCGGCGACGGUGCUCCACGGCCAUGGCGGCUCGGCCUCCUGGGAAUAAGAAACGAGGGAGAGACGGGGUGAGAUGGAGAGAAGAGAAGCAGAGGAGGGCGACACAGAUUCCUUCUUCUGGUCCGGCGGCAGCUCCCGUCGGCUGAUCCAGGUCUUAGCCGCAGUUUGAUGACCAUCAUGCACUUCCCCGGCUAAUCCAUGUACCACUUGCUUUAUCUGUACUAUUAAAGGGGUACCGAACAUCGUGAUGGGUCGACCUCCUCCCGUUCCGACGAAUUAUUCAUCCUGUUACAAGGGCAUAACCCACUCGGUAAACAAGAGAAUCAAGAAGGAAGAACUUUUGUGCUGGUAUCGAACGUCAUGAUGGGUCGAC